UACUGUGUCCUUCCAUCAUAGUGUGUUUCUAUACGUCACCAUGAUACAGGACACAGCCCC
rnacentral:pre_miRNA from 1 species